CAACUUCUAAUUUUUACAUUCAAAUAAAAUUGGUCAAGUGACAAAAAGAAUGCAAAAAUUGUUAUUUUCUUUUUAUUUUUCACUUCUAAUAAAACCUUUUAGUUACAGUAACUUCAGCCUAGUGGGUGUCAAUUUUAGUCAAUGAUCAGGACAUAUUAUUCUACCUAUUCUUAAUGUAAAUUUAGACCAAUUUUAUAUAUAUUUCCCCUUUCCUCUCCCUCUAUCUCUUUUAUUUUUUCUCCUUAUGUCACAACAAAGAGGAAUCUUUCAUUGCACUAAAAAAAUAGCAUGUAAUUUUCUCUUGGUGAUCCUUACUAAGCAGUAUAAAGCACUUGAUUUUGGGCAUUCAAAUCUAACAGGAACCUCACUAGGGAAUUUGCAAAAGUUUAAAUUGAUUUCAGUACAAUGUUCAAGUCUGUCUUUUGACUUCGUGAUCCCUGGCUGCAAUUGAGAUAUUAUAUCAUUGUAAACAUCAUGUGUUUUGAUAUCCCAUUCUCUUCUAGCGACAAACAGCAGGCUUUGAGGUUGUUGACCAAUUUAUGCAGUUUAUUUGAUUCUUCUCAUCUUCUGAUGUAUUGCUUUGUCUAAAUGAAACCUACACCUAUGGUAUAGGGCAACAAGAAAUCAGGGUUAGGGUCAUAAGGUCCAUCUUGUUUACAAAGUAAGAAUAGUGACUUGAUUUCAUUACUGUUCAGUGAAUUGUAGUCAGUUCAAUUCUAGUGUCAACAUAAGUUGCUUUCCAACUUCAUCAUUGCCAAACCAAUUCUAACUGUGAACGCAUCCUUACAUAAAAAGAUUUCUUAUUUCUAAAGAGCCACACCAUCCACCAUGAUUAAGAUGAGGAGAAUGAAAUGUGAGAGAGUGAUGGUGGGGGGAGAGUGUUACAAUUCAAUUAAUAGAGAAGAAAAGAGAACAAGGAUAAGAAGAAGAAGGUUGUAGAGAGGAAGAGAGAUUAUAGAAGAAUUGAGAAAGGAUAGACUGAGAAUAGAGAGGAAAACUUUAUUGAUCUUCUUCAAAUUUGAAUGCCUUACAAGUAUUCUUACUCUCUCUAUAUACUCAUGCUUCUAUUUGCCAAGCAGCAUGACUUAACAAACUUCCUUCCAAUUCUAACAAACUUUUCUCCAAUUCUAACAACCUUCCCUCCAAUUCUUAACUAAUAACUCUUAGCUAAACAGUUAGCUAUUCUCAGUUGUAGCCCUCUUCUUUCUUCUCUUAUAUGUAACAAUACCUCCCUCAGAAGAACCUUCUUGUCUCCAAGAAGGGGUGAAAGUGGGAAAUUGGCUUUGAAUAAAGCUUUGAUUCUCCUGGUAGCAUCUUCUUCUAGAAGAUUUUGCCAUUUAAUUAAUCCCUGAACCACUGGAAGCUCAUUUAUGGUAAUAGUCCUUGUCUGCAGCAAGGCUUUAGGACCAACAACUGGGGAUUGAUCUUCACGAUAAUUAGGAAGCUCAGCUAUAGGAGUGACAUUAGUACCAAUCGUCUUUUUUAACAGUGAGACAUGAAAUAUUGGGUGAAUAUUACAGAGAAAGGCAUUUGGAUUUUGUAAGCCACUGCUCCAAUCCUCUGAAGUCUGAAUCCCCUGAAAGGACCUAUAGUAUUUGGCUACUAGCUUGAGAGACUUUCUGAGUGGAAGAGAAGUCUAUCUAUAGGGUUGCAACUUGAGAUAAAUCUAGUCCCCAACAAGUAACAACGAAUUCCCUUUUUGAUCCGUGUUUAUCCACUUGAGACUUCAUUCUAUCUUGAGCAUGUUGAAGAUUGUCUCUAACAAUGCUGAGGAUGUGCUGCCUCGAUUGAAAGUAAUCUUGGACAAAGGUCAGAUGAGACUUUGAUAAGGGAAUCGAGGGAAGCAUGAAGGGCUGAUACCCAUACGGUGCUUGAAAGUGGGACACCUUGAUAACAUUGUGAUAGGCAUUGUUGUACUACCAUUCUGCCAAGGACAACCACCUAUACCAGGAAGUUGGUUGGUGAUGAGUCAUGCACUUCGAAUAGGCUUCUAGACACUGAUUAAGCUCCUCAAAUUGACCAUGACUAUGGAUGGUAAGCAUUAGAGUAACUGAGAGAAGUGCCCAAUGAUUUGAAAAAGUUUUUUCAAAAUAGGAUUUCCCUGACUUUGGUAGCUGGAAUGCCAUGAGCCUUAAAAACAUUAUGCAGAAAAAUCUUUGCUACUGUAGAGGAUGUGAAGGGGUGAGUCAAUGCCAAGAAAUGUGCAUACUUUGUGAGCCUGCAGAUGACCACUAACAUAGUGUCUUUACCCCUUGAUUUUUUAAUUUCUCAAUGAAAUCCAUUGAAAUGUGCUGCCAGGCAUGUGAGGGAAUGGGUAGGGGUUGUAAUAAUCCAGGAGCUGCACAAUGUUCUCCUUUGCACCUAGCACAAACAGCACACUGUUUGACCCAAUCCAUAACAUAAGCAAGAGACCAGGCUAGAAAAAAUGCCUCUUAAUUCUCAAAUAGGUGUUAAUGCAUCUCAGAACGUCCUCCUAGUGGAGAGUUAUUGUAAAGCUGAAGCAAUUUAUUUUCGAAUUCAGUAGCCUCUCCCACCACCAUCCUUCCCUUGUAAUAGAGGACUCCAUUCAACAAUGUAUACCUAGGAUUUGAUUUGUCAUCCAGGCUGAGUUGAUUGAUAAUUUCAGUCACUCUAGUGUCCCCAUAAUAGCUCAAUCAAACUACCCUUUCAAGUACGUUGGAUAAUGGAGGUUGCAGCAUAGGAAAUGGCUUCAAGAGAUAUUCUUGACAAUGCAUCUGCUACUUUGGUUUCCAAUCCCUUGUACAAAAUUUUAUGGUCCAAAUCCAGUAUUUUUGAGGUUCCUUUUUGCUGUAAAUUGGUAUGAAGCCUAUGUUCUAAGAGGUAUUUAAUACUCUCAUGGUUAGUCUUGAUAAAGAAUUACCCCUGCUCCAAAUAAUGCCUCAAUUUAGACACGACAAAGGUGAUGGCCAAUAGUUCUUUCUCAUAGGCUGAGAGACUCUUGUUUCUAGGCCCAAGAGCCUUAGAAAUAUAAGCAAUAGGGUGCUUUUGCUGCAUUAGUACAACCCCCAUGCCAUAGCAAUUGGCAUUUGUCUCAAUAACAAAGGGUUGAGAAAAAUUUGGUAAAGCCAAAGCAUGAGCUGUAGCCAUGGCCUUCUUGAGCGUUUCAAAGGCUCCUUGAGCUUGCUCAACCCAUUGGAAAGCAUCUUUCUUCGGUAGAUCAAUUAAAGGCUUACUAAUGGAGCCAUAAUGCUGGAUAAAUUUUCUAUAAUAACCUGUUAGUCCUAAAAUGCUUCUCAGUUCACUCACAUUCUUGGGAGUAGGCCAAGUAACCAUAGAUUGUACUUUAGCAAGAUCAGUUGCAACUCUUGGACCUGUGAUUAUGUGUCCCAAAUAAUCAAAUGGAGGACUGGCCAAAAGAGCACUUAGAUAGCUUGGCAUAAAGCUGCUGCUCUUGCAGGAUUUGAAACACCUUCUCCAAAUGCUCCAAAUGAGAUUCUAGGUUAGGGCUAUAGACCAAGAUAUCAUCAAAAAACACCAAGACAAACUUUCUUAAGUGUGGAUGGAAAAUAUGGUUCAUGAGAAUUGAGACCCUUAAAGGUGGUUGGUGUGGUGAGUCUUGAAGGCUAUUUUAGGGAUAUCAGAUUCUUUCACCCUAAUCUGAUGCUAUCCAGCCUUUAAAUUUAUCUUGGAUAAGAUAGUAGCUCCAUGAAGCUCAUAAAAAAGUUCUUCAAUAAUGGCAAUAGGGAAUUUAUUCUUAAUUGUUUGGACAUUGAGCUUCCUAUAUUCAAUACAAAAUCUCCAACUACCAUUUUUUUCUUGACUAGUAGCACAAGGGAAGAGUAGGGACUAGGGAUUGCUACUAGGUUGGAUCACUUUAGCAGCUAACAUUUCAGACACUAGCCUUUCAAUUUCUUCCUUCUGAAAGUGAGGAUACCUAUAAGAUCUCACAUUAAUAAGUGUUGAAUCCCACAUCGGUUGUGAAAAGGGAUAAUGUGCCCCUUAUAUGAGCCAUAGGCAAUCCUCCCCCUUGAGCUAGCUUUUGGGGUGAGUUAGGCCUGGCCCAAAUUUAACAUGGUAUCAGAGCCUCCCCAUCCGAUGUUGGGCCUCCCAUGAAUAUGUCACACACCGGUAAAAUUCUCGGCGUGAAGGGGUGUAUUGAAUCCCACAUCGGUUGUGGAAAGGGGUAAUGUGCCCCUUAUAUGAGCCAUAGGCAAUCAUCCUCCUCGAGCUAGCUUUUGGGGUGAGUUAGGCCUGGCCCAAAUUUAACAAUAAGUUUGGCAGGAGAUUGCAAAGGAAUUGAGUGGAUAUGGGACCUAAAUGGGCGAAGUUGUUUAGGAUCCUCAAAAACUGCCUGGUACUUCUUCAACAGGGAGUGAAUUUUAGGAUGUGUUGCCCUUGUUUGUCCUUGCAGUGCAUGCAAUUGAAUGUUUCUUGAAUGCCCUUUUAUAUAGAAAAGAGGCGACUGAAAAUCUUCCCCCUUCUUAUGUAACAGCUGCUGCAGAUCAGUGCAACUGGAGAAUUUGCAACUUGCAGGGAAUUCAAUGAUCCCUUGCAUUCGGAAAAAUACCCUUGAAUUCUCAAAGUCAAACAACAUUGGAGUGAAACUUUUCGUCCAAUCAGCUCCCAAGAUAAUGUCAAAUCCCCCAAUAUCCAGGAUUCUAAAAUCAAACACAAAUUGAUGCUUGCCAAUCUUCCGAUCAAGCCUCUGACAUUUAGUCGCACAAGUACUUUCCUCCCACUAGCUACCACCACAACGUUGGUGGGGAUUUCCACUAUAGGAAGCUUAAGAUCCUUAACAAUCUUAGAAUCCAUAAAACUCUGGGUACUUCCAUUGUCAAUUAAACACAAUAAUUAUAUUUUUACACUUCCCACAAUCCAGAUUGUAUCACUCCCCUUACUACCUUCCAGGGCAUGAAUAGAUAAAGUCACCUCUUCCCUCGCACCUUCCAUAGAAUCAGGUACAUCAUGCCUAACUUCCCUAUCCUCCUCUUGAAUGGUAUACUCAUUGUUAUCCUGCUCACUGCUGUAAGCUGCCAUAAGGUUUUCUAUUUACAAAUGUGCCCUGAGAAGUAUUUCUCACCGCAUCUAAAACAGGGUUUAAGAGUGCUUGUAGUGGAGCUAUUGGUAUUGCUUGUUUGGGUUGUUUUGGUUAUGCUUUGGUUCACUGAAGUAGGACUGGAAAUAGUGGAGGACUUAGCAGUAGGGAGGUUUGGAGCUGGUAUUUAUAUAGGUUUGGUGAAUUGUGAUGUUUGGGAAUUUUUGUAUAUAGGUAAAAGGAAUUUACAUUUGGACUUUGGUAAGUGGGUUUGGAAUAAGGGUCUGUGCUAUGGAUAAUGGAUAGAUUAAAUCCAUAACAUCCAUAGCAAAUAGAUUAUAUUUAUCUAUUAUCAUAUCUCUAGUAUCUUAUUUUAUCUUAUGCAUUUGUUUAGAUUUCUGUUAUCUUAUCUUAAAAAUUCUUUAUCUAAUAGUUGCUUGUAUUAGAUUUCUAUUCUAAUUAAAAGUACUAAUUAGAGAUACUAUGGUUGUAUGUACCUUCACUAUAUAAGGGGUUUAUUUUUAUUCAAUAAGGCAAGCAAAAUUUAUUCCUAAAAUUCUGAGAUUUAAGACUUUUUCAUUAACGAGUUUGAGGUGUCAAGAGUUCCCUCUAAUGAGCUUCUUUUCUAUCAACCAUACCAUGACGUGAUCCAUAAUCUGGGACCGUAAUAGUCUGACUUCUUGGUAUUUCCCACCAAUAUCUCCUGCAGUCCUGCAAUUUCUAGGGCAUAAUACAGGGUGGUAGGCUUAAACAUUCUCACCUUAGGUCUAAUGUCAUCUCUAAGGCCCCUAUAAACAUCGUAAGUGUUGAAUCCCACGUUGGUUUGGCAAAGAGGUAAUGUGGCCUUAUAUGAGCCAUAGGUACCUCUUUUUUGAGCUAGUUUUUUUGGUGAGUUAGGCCUUAUUUAAAUUUAAUACGGUACCAGAGCUUUCCAUUCGAUGUUCGGCCUCCCAUAAAUAUGUCACAUACUAGUAAAGUUCUGAGCAUGAGGGGUGUGUUGAAUCCCACAUCGGUUUGGAAAAAAAAAAAGGUAAUGUGCCCCUUGUAUGAGCCCUAAGCACACCUCCCCUUUGAGCUAGUCUGACCUAAAUUUAACAAUAAGAAAUAAUUGUCCCUCAACUCUAGCAUUAUCCUCUCCAAUUGCAGCCUCAAUCCCUUAAACUUACCUUGAUACUCCUUGACACUUCACUCCUGUCUCACCCUCAUAAAUUUUUCCAUCACCUCUUCUAACUCAUAAUCCCCAAAUCUAGCACAUAAUUCUCUUCCAAACUUAUCACAGUUAAGAGAUUCCUUUCCCCUACUCCAAUUAUGAAACCACUCAUCAGCCUAAUCUAUAAAAAACAGACUAGCUAUUCCCACCCAUUGGUCCCUAGAAACACUAUAUACCUCAAAAUAUUUCUCACACUUCCUCGACCAUACCCUUACAUCCUUGCCAUCACAAAUAAUCAAUUCAAUUUUAGGCAAUAAUUUAUGGGUUUCAGGAUCUAUCGGGGUUACAACAUUUACGGGAGUGGGUAGUAUACCCUUUCCUUUAUCAGAUCUACUACUUUCAGCUACUGCGAUUCCUUCUUCCUCACUACUGUUGUUUCAUUUCUUCUAGUCUUGCCAUCAUAGAUCGCGUCUCAUUCAACAUCAACCUUCUGGUCUCCUGAAUCUCAAUUCUCAAUCCAUUGAUACUCUUAUCUGUUUUCUCUUGAUAGUUUCGAAACUGUUCCUUCAUUUCAGCUAACAUAACAGCUUUGUUACUCACAACAAUAGAUCUUGUCCUUAUCCCCACUCAAUUGUGUUACCCAAAGAUAAAAAGAAUCAUAGUAAUAGCCCUCAUGUGGAGGCUCUGAUAUCAAAUUGUUACGAAUCAAUUAAUAGAUAAGGAAAGAGAAGAAGAAGAUUGUAGAGAGGAAGAGAGAUUAUAGAAGAAUUGAGAAAGGAUAGUCUGAGAGAAAAUAGAGAGGGAAAUUUUAUUGAUCCUGUUCAAAUAUGAAUGCCUUAACAAGUAUUCUUACUCUAUAUAUUCAUGCUCCUAAACGGCAUGAUUUAACAAACUUCCCUCCAACUCUAACAAACUUCCAUGGUUUCAAAUCGCGGUCGUAGUCAUGGAUAACGGAAAUAGGCCUAUGGCGGUUAUAACGUAACGGUAUUUUUGAAAAAUUUGCAAAGUUCAUGAAAUUAGCAAAUAUUUAAAGAUAUAAUAAAAAAUAAGUUAUACAACUUAAUAAUAAGUACAAAUGUAUCUAAUAAACACAAAAUCUAUAAGUUUUAAACAUCAUACAUAAUAACUAACCUC
rnacentral:lncRNA from 1 species